GACAGAGGGGGCAAGCGUUGCUCGGAAUUACUGGGCGUAAAGGGCGCGUAGGCGGGAUGGCAAGUCGGUCGUGAAAUCCUUCGGCUCAACCGAAGAACGUCGAUCGAUACUGCUGUUCUUGAGGGUUGCAGAGGAGACUGGAAUUCCCGGUGUAGCGGUGAAAUGUGUAGAGAUCGGGAGGAACACCGGUGGCGAAGGCGGGUCUCUGGGCCGAUACUGACGCUGAGGAGCGAAAGCGUGGGGAGCAAACAGG
rnacentral:rRNA from 1 species